rnacentral:rRNA from 1 species
UGGCCCUACGGGGGGCAGCAGUAGGGAAUAUUUCUCAAUGGGGGAAACCCUGAAGCAGCAACGCCGCGUGGAGGAUGAAGGUUUUCGGAUUGCAAACUCCUUUUGUUAGAGAAGAUAAUGACGGUAUCUAACGAAUAAGCACCGGCUAACUCCGUGCCAGCAGCCGCGGUAAUACGGAGGGUGCAAGCGUUACUCGGAAUCACUGGGCGUAAAGAGCGCGUAGGCGGGAUAGCAAGUAAGAUGGGAAAUCCUCUGGCUUAACCAUAGAACUGCAUUUUACGCUGUUAUUCUAGAGUAUGGGAGAG